rnacentral:lncRNA from 12 species
UGUCUCUUUACUCCUACAGCCAAAUAAACAUAGGGGCCAUCCUUAUCAGAAAAUAAUUGAUAUGCAAUACUGGUGAUAUGCAGGAUUGAUAUGCAGGAAUAUGCCAAGUGAGGCCCAAAGUUCACCCAGCACUUAAGUUUUGGGGUUUUUUCCUUUGUAAAGGGUUUGGGUUUGAAUCUGCCAUUUUCCCCCACACACACUUUGCAUGGUCUGGAUUGGCUCUGCUGUUACAUUGGUUGCUCCCUGAAAGUACUUCUGGGCAUUCCUAAAGCCAAAACAGUUCUCCAUAGCUAAUUUCUCUCAGGUCUGUUAUGUUUAACAGUUCUCACCUGUUUUUUAGGGGGUUUUUGCAUUUCCAUACCUGGGCUUCUUUUGUGAUGUUUCCAGCCCAUCUCUCUCACAUGGUUUACAAUAUCAUGCAGGAGUUCUACCCAUGUGGGAAUAGGUCUACUUGGGGCUUGUGGAUCUUGUAAAGCUUCAUUAUAAAUUACAUCUCUUUUGAUUUUGUCUCCCCAACAUAUGAUUUUUUAGCAUAGCUGGAGCUCCUCUCAAUAGAGGCGUUAACAUAUUAAAAUCUACCACUGCAGAGAUUGGAAUCUCUCCAUUUGCAGUCUCCAUUGCCUGCAAACAGGACCCCCCACCCCAUUUUGGGGGGACCAGGACUGUGUUCUUGGGUUUGUGGAUGGAUUUGGGGAGAGCAGGGCUGGAUUCAGAGGGGCCAUUGUUGCAUUUCAGGGGGUUCCUCCACCCAGGCUGCUUGUGUUGUGACAUCAUGUGCUGUCAUGGUAAUGUUGGAACCCACAGUGUUGUGAGGCUGGCUUGGGACAGUUAAGUGUCUCCAGUCCCCAGUGGGUGCUGAACUGGAGGAUCCUGAGUCCCUGGUGAGGAGCCAACCCACCAUGGUGACACUAGUGGAGGUGAAGACCAGAUUCGAGGCCACCCGGUACUACCAGCUCAGUCAGGAAGACCUGAGGGUAUCCUGUAAGGAUUCCAGCAUAGCCAAGAUCUUCCCCAGCACAGAGAAAGGUGCCUUCAUCCCUGCCAGUCAGGGGGGGAUCCAGAAGGCCACUGCCCAGAUGGAUGGGCUCAGCCUGGCUGAGCCAGCUGGGGACACUAGUGACAAGUGUCAGCAGGACCUCUGCCAAGCCUCCAGCCCCACCCACUGUGGAAGUCAGUACUGUCAGCACCACUGGUGUCCCCAGAUGGAGCCCACCAAGGGUCACUUGACCGUGCUGGGGUCUCCCAGCAGAAUGAAACGGUACAGCCACUGGUAUGGCAGCCCAGUCCUUGGUGGCAUCAUGAAACAGAACCUGCCUGGAAGAUGCUACAGCUCAUCCUGUGCCAAGACAGCUCUGGUGAUGUGGCGCAACCCCAAGCCCCCAGGGAUUUGGAGAAUGGGCUUCAGAGGCUGGGCUGGGACCCCCCUGCAGUGCUCAGAACGCUUCUACCACAGAGCCAGUGGCACUCCCAGCACCACUGAGACCCCACAGCAACCCUUGCAUUCGCUCCAGCAGCCCAGAGCUUGCAAGAGACCUUCUUCUUCCUCACCCUCAAGCACCCCAACAGCCAAAACCCAGCGCCUUGCUGGUGGAGACAACAGCCAGGGCUGCAACAGAACAUACUGUGCCAGAUGCUACCGGCUCUGUUUCUCACAUUGAUCCCCCAAUAAAUAGUUUUGCCAAAAACUGAGCAUUUAAACUGAUUAUUUGCCAGGGGAGUUUGGUACUGCCAAGACUUGAGGGGUGUCCCAGCUUCUCAUCCAGGGCUGGCACAGCACUUGGCAAAGGCCUGGCACUUUCCACCAUCACAGCACGGAGGACCCCAC